UGUGGGAGGUCACUUAUUUUAGGAAAUUCAUAAAUAUUCAAAUUAUGAUUUCUAACCAAAUAGAUGCUAUUGGUUUACUCGUGGUUUGAUGGUUUUGCGGUGAAAGAAUCAUAUUGUUAAGCUUUAUUAACCACAGCUCCAUAUUUUAUUUGAUGGUUUUGAUUCUACGGACAAAUGAUAACGGGAAGUACAUCAUGGAAAUUCGAGGCAGACGUAGAGGAAGGAAAGCAAUAUCACAUUUGUAAACAAUGUUUGGUUUAGUGAUGGUUUAAUAAUUAGAGAAUAGAGAGGGU
rnacentral:lncRNA from 1 species